CCUUGUCAUUAGUUGCUACGAAAGGGCACUCUAAUGAGACUGCCGGUGACAAACCGGAGGAAGGUGGGGAUGACGUCAGGUCAUCAUGGCCCUUAUGGGUAGGGCUACACACGUCAUACAAUGGCCGGUACAAAGGGCUGCCAACCCGCGAGGGGGAGCCAAUCCCAGAAAACCGGUCGUAAUCCGGAUCGCAGUCUGCAACUCGACUGCGUGAAUCGGAAUCGCUAGUAAUCGCGGAUCACUUGCCGCGGUGAAUACUUCCCGGGUCUUGUACACACCGCCCGUCACACCAUGUGAGCGGGUCUGCCAGAAUAUUA
rnacentral:rRNA from 1 species